UAGGUUAGUAUGUAGGUUAGUACGUAGGUUAGUAUGUAGGUUAGUACGUAGGUUAGUAUGUAGGUUAGUAUGUAGGUUAGUGCGUAGGUUAGUAUGUAGGUUAGUACGUAGGUUAGUACGUAGGUUAGUAUGUAGGUUAGUACGUAGGUUAGUAUGUGGGAAUGUUGAACGGUUGUACAGUAGUAGAGUGUAUUUAUAGAAAUCUCUAAACAGGACCCAGUAAUCCAUAUUUUAUGAAAAACUCAUUGCAAUUAUAUGUUUAUUUCUUUUACAAAAGUUCAGACCGAUGUUUUUCUUCAAAAAGCUGACCAGUGAACAUUUGA
ensembl:lncRNA